AUAAGCCCACGGCUCGGCAUCGAGCAGAGGGAAAAGGAGCAAUCCGCUUUGAGAUGGCCUCGCGUCCGAUUAGCUAGUUGGUGAGGUAACGGCCCACCAAGGCGACGAUCGGUAGCCGGACUGAGAGGUUGAACGGCCACAUUGGGACUGAGACACGGCCCAGACUCCUACGGGAGGCAGCAGUGGGGAAUAUUGCACAAUGGGGGAAACCCUGAUGCAGCGACGCCGCGUGGAGGAAGAAGGUCUUCGGAUUGUAAACUCCUGUUGUUGAGGAAGAUAAUGACGGUACUCAACAAGGAAGUGACGGCUAACUACGUGCCAGCAGCCGCGGUAAAACGUAGGUCACAAGCGUUGUCCGGAAUUACUGGGUGUAAAGGGAGCGCAGGCGGGAAGACGAGUUGGAAGUGAGAUCCAUGGGCUCAACCCAUGAACUGCUUUCAAAACUGUUUUUCUUGAGUAGUGCAGAGGUAGGCGGAAUUCCCGGUGUAGCGGUGGAAUGCGUAGAUAUCGGGAGGAACACCAGUGGCGAAGGCGGCCUACUGGGCACCAACUGACGCUGAGGCUCGAAAGUGUGGGUAGCAAACAGGAUUAGAUACCCUGGUAGUCCACACUGUAAACGAUGAUUACUUGGGGUUGGAGGAUUGACCCCUUCAGUGCCGCAGUUAACACAAUAAGUAAUCCACCUGGGGAGUACGACCGCAAGGCUGAAACUCAAAGGAAUUGACGGGGGCCCGCACAAGCAGUGGAGUAUGUGGUUUAAUUCGACGCAACGCGAAGAACCUUACCAAGUCUUGACAUCCUGCGACGCACAUAGAAAUAUGUGUUUCCUUCGGGACGCAGAGACAGCUGGUGCAUGGUUGUCGUCAGCUCGUGUCGUGAGAUGUUGGGUUAAGUCCCGCAACGAGCGCAACCCUUAUGGUCAGUUACUACGCAAGAGGACUCUGGCCAGACUGCCGUUGACAAAACGGAGGAAGGUGGGGAUGACGUCAAAUCAUCAUGCCCUUUAUGACUUGGGCUACACACGUACUACAAUGGCGUUAAACAAAGAGAAGCAAGACCGCGAGGCGGAGCAAAACUCAGAAACAACGUCCCAGUUCGGACUGCAGGCUGCAACUCGCCUGCACGAAGUCGGAAUUGCUAGUAAUCGUGGAUCAGCAUGCCACGGUGAAUACGUUCCCGGGCCUUGCACUAAGCGCCCGUC
rnacentral:rRNA from 1 species